rnacentral:rRNA from 1 species
GAGGUAGAUAGGUUCGAGGUGGAAGCGUGGCGACACGUGCAGCUGACGAAUACUAAUCGAUCGAGGACUUAACCAAU